AUGGAGGCCACUGAGUCAAUUGUCACAGACGCCAUUGAGGUGGAGGAAUCAACAACUACGGUUACGACUUUGGAGACCGAAAAGUCCAAAGCAGAGUUUGUGUGGACUCUGCAAGCUACAUGGCAUCUCGUCCACGUUCGUUUGGACAUGGACCCAGAGUUUGACCAGCCCGUGUGCAAGAAGAAGAAGCUGUGGGAGACUGUGGCCGAGAGAGUGACUGCAAAGCUAAGAGCCGAGGAAGGCACAGACGUUUCAGUCAAAGCCUUCGAAUGUGACCUGAAGUGGAGAAACAUGUUAGCGACAUAUCGCAAAAAUGCUGAGCGAGCCAGAAGACUGGGAACCAGCAGUGUUCACUGGGAGUUCUUCAAGGAGAUGCAUAAAGUGCUGGGAAGGAGCUACGAGGAGGUUGAGGCUCAGCGCAAGGCGAAGCUCAAUGGCACCAAGCUGGGCAAGGCCAUAGCCAGCAAACGAUUUACCCCGAUACUGCCCACACCCACAGCUACAGCACCACAGUUACCCAACGCCAGGCCUCCUCAGGAUUUGCUGCAGUUGUACCUGGAGCUGCAGGAGAGGAAACUCAACAUGUGGGCUCAACAGAAAGCGCUGGAAGAGAGGAAGAUCGAGGCCAUUAAUAACUUGGCACGUGCCAUAACUUUCCUGUCCCAGAACAAUACCAUGCAAAUGCCCAAAGAGUGUCUGUCGGACACCCCUGUUACCCAACAGUAGUCUUUUCAGAUAGGAAAUGCAUUUUUAUUUUUAGAGAAAUGCCCGAUAUGCUGAACCCUUUUCAGAGAAUUAAAAAGACUUGAACUGAACAGCAAUUUGUUGAAAAAUGCUUGGUUUUCCUUUCCUUCAGUGUGAAUUGCAAAAAUAUAACUGAGAAGUUAAAAACGUCACAUUCAUGUAAAAUGAGUACAGGGCAAGUUGUACAUAGUAUUUUUGUGUUUUAAUAAAAAAAAUCAUACAAAAUGUUCACGUUUUCUGCUAAAGCUUUUUUCAUACCACCAAAUAUUUAUCAAUUACACACAGAAUCUCAAGAGUUUCAAAGGAAUAGUUCACCCAAAAAAAUGACAAUUCUGUCAUUAUUUACAUAUUCCUAGGCUUGUGACUGCAUUUUGUUUGACAUGAAUGGACCAGUUAUCAUUAACUUGAACUAAAACCAUAAAAAACCCAUUACUUGAAUUAAAAUUAACAUUAAUU
rnacentral:lncRNA from 1 species